rnacentral:rRNA from 1 species
GACGAACGCUGGCGGCGUGCUUAACACAUGCAAGUCGAACGGAAAGGCCCUGCUUUUGUGGGGUGCUCGAGUGGCGAACGGGUGAGUAACACGUGAGUAACCUGCCCUUGACUCUGGGAUAACUUCAGGAAACUGCGGCUAAUACCGGAUACGAGCUCCUGCUGCAUGGUGGGGGUUGGAAAGGUUCGUCGGUUGGGGAUGGACUCGCGGCAUAUCAGCUUGUUGGUGGGGUAGUGGCUUACCAAGGCGUCGACGGGUAGCCGGCCUGAGAGGGUGACCGGCCACACUGGGACUGAGACACGGCCCAGACUCCUACGGGAGGCAGCAGUGGGGAAUAUUGCACAAUGGGCGGAAGCCUGAUGCAGCAACGCCGCGUGCGGGAUGACGGCCUUCGGGUUGUAAACCGCUUUCGCCUGUGACGAAGCGAGAGUGACGGUAAUGGGUAAAGAAGCACCGGCUAACUACGUG